CCCAUCCCUGGAAGUCUUUCAAGGCCAGGUUGGACAGGGCUUGGAGCAACCUAGUCUAGUGGAAGGUGUCCCUGCCCAUGGCAGGGGGUUGGAAUGAGACAAGCUUUAAGGUCCUUUCUGACCCAAACCAGUCUGUGAUUCUGUGAUUCUGUGAUUCUGUGAUUCUGUGAUUCUGUGAUUCUGUGAUUCUGUGAUUCUGUGAUUAGCAUCAGCCUGUUCCUGUUGCUGGACUGCAGCUGGCAGGGAGCGUGCAGGACCCUUGGGAAGCUCAGGUCACUCCACACACAGCUGUGCAGACUCGGCCUUGUUGUGUUUGGAAAGACAAAAGUGAUGGCACAUGUCAGGCAGAUUAGAAGGUGACAGAUAGAUGGACAGGCAGGCAGGCUGCCUUUAAAUAGUCUCCAUAUUUUUCCCAUGACAUCUGUCUGCAGGAGUUUAAAUUAUGAUCCUCGCUUACAGCUUUGAAAGAAUUUAAAAUGCUUAAAUCCCUGUUAAAAACUAAGCUAACAAAGCUUGGCUGGAUGCUACACUUUUAAUCCACAAUGAAAGCAGUGUGCUGGAUUUGAAGGGCUGCAGAGCUCUCAUGGAAAUACCCUGCAAACACUCAGGCCCUCCUAAUGAUCAACCUGCUAUAGAAAUGGUUUGGUGUCAGAUUCAAAUCUGACAGCUAUGCUGAAAUGGCUCCACCAUAACUUCCUCUUCCUUCUGACUGAGGGAUCAGAAUAUAAAUGUGCAACUUAUCCUGUUUUAGACACUUCACAAGCAAUAACUGUGAUGUCAAGGCCCCAGAUGCCAGCUGGGAUCUGGGAGAAAUCAUUUAGCUGCCUCUCACCCCCAUGAGUGUGGGGAGAGAGCAGCAAGUCCCAGAGCUAAGUGCUUUCAGCAGCACCACCUGCUGCUGCCCCCCCAGCAAACCAGCCAUAGAUCCUAUGAGCUCUGCUCCCCCAUAACCAGACACGAGGAGCACAUGGCAAAAAAUCUCCUGGAGGGCAGGAAGUAGUGCCAAAGAAGAAACAAGGGGAUGCUUCAGCGAGGCGCCUUCCCAAGCCCCUCAUGCUUUUAGAGUGUUUGUCAUACACAGAACUGCUAUCAAGAGCCUUGGAGCCGCCUUCCCUUUCUGUAGAGGCAGUGAAUGGGAUCAAACCCAGGGUCCUGCAGCAUUCACAGUGCUACUUUCGUCAUCAGAGGAGCAGAGAAUCUUUUGAUAGAUGUUAACCUAAGAGUUUUUCAUCAACCCUAUUCAGUAGGCAAGUCAAGAAACGGCAAGGGCACUCAAAAUCAGCCAAAUAAAAGGCAAGACAACCCCCCAUACAGAUACUUUCUUGCUAAAACUAUUAAUAAACAUUGCACAUUGCGUCAA